GGGACAUCUUCUGUGCCAGGAGUUGGGAGCCAAGACAGAAAGCUGCCCAAUUUCUUUCCCACUUGGCCUAGUUUUGUUUUAGCUGAUGGAAGAGGUUCUUUCUCCAGGAAAGAAAAAAGGAAACAGAUGAGACUUAACACCUGCCCCCUCUGUAGACCUACAGCUCACAGAGACUCGCAGGGCCCCAGCUUCCCUUCUGGGGACACAGCCGAGAUCCGCCCAACCAAUGAGACAGGCUACCUCGGCUGGCUGCCGUGUUGCCAGGUGACCGAGCCCUCCAGUAACCUCACCUGAACGCCCUCUCCCGUGAGAGCUGAGCAAGACUGGAUCUGCCAGACUCGGUCGCGGAUGGUGUGCAGGUUCAGUCCUUCUGCAAUUUCAGAGGCAGGGGC